UACGUAGGUGGCGAGCGUUGUCCGGAUUUACUGGGCGUAAAGGGCGUGCAGGCGGUUUGUUAAGUGCAGGGUGAAAGCUCCCGGCUCAACUGGGAGAGGUCCUUGCAUACUGGCGAACUCGAGGGAGGCAGAGGAAAGUGGAAUUCCCGGUGUAGUGGUGAUAUGCGUAGAUAUCGGAAGGAACACCGGUGGCGAAAGCGGCGCGCUGGACCCCUUCUGACGCUGAGGCGCGAAAGCCAGGGGAGCAAACGGG
rnacentral:rRNA from 1 species